GUUGAGCGUACGUGGAGCAGUAUGCGAACGGAAAGACUAAGCGUCCGCUGGGGAACGUCAGCCUGCAGGUUGAGCGCGGCCGCACUGUGCGACCCGGAGCUGGAAGGCCCCAGACCCAAAUGUUGGACCAUCGAUCGGAACGCUCUCAGCACGCACCUGUCUGGCUGCGAAUCCCACCCAGGCGCCGAGCCUCCAGUGACUGCAAUCCAUCCUGACUGGUGAGGAUUGAUAUAUUGACGGUGCUGAAAUUGGUUGGCGGCAGUGUCCGGUGCAGCUCGAAAAGCUGAACGAGCAGUCUUCAACUAGCGAAAAUACUUUGGUACCGGUAACAAUCUGUCGUCGAUGGGCGUGCGUUUACGACAUGCUGAAACCCGAUAAGUCCCCCGCUUGCAUCUGGAAUCUAGUAGUCUUGCACUACCUGGUCCACCACGAAAAGACGUCUUCUGUCAUAUCCGCAAGCAGGCCAAUAAUAAUUUUCCGUAAUAGAUUUACGGAAUAUUAUUAUUGGCCAUAAGGAUUCGCACGAGGAUCUCAUCAACAUGGUUCUAUCUUGGAUUUACUGGCGAAUUAUUAUGCUCUCAAGUAUGCUCUCAAAUAAUCCACUAGCUCUGCAGGGACGCGGGAUUGUUGCCUUUCAUGAGCCGGACUACAAGCUAGCAGUCCAACAGUUUAGAAAGUUACUGUUUUCUUAUGCCACCUGUUCGGCGAAUGUCAGAAUGGCGAUUGGAUAUUGUCUUUUCAAGAUGGUUACGAUCGUUACGAUAAAGCCAGAAUGGCAUACAGACAAGCACUGGAAAUUGACCAGACUUCGACGUGUCGGCUGUUCGAUGGUCUUACUGAACGAUGGAACUUCCGUCUCGAUUGUCGACGCAGUCAGAAUGAUCGGCAAAGUGUACAAACUGGACAGAUCCAAUCCGAUCAAUCUGAACCUUCUAGCAGAUCAUUUCUUUUACCGACGCGAAACCGAAAAGGCCAUCAAUUCAUCCACAAUGGCACUCUAGACGUCGUUUGCACAUUGAAGGCUGAGUCAGUCUGCGUACAUGCUGAUAAGAAGUUUCCAUUUCAAGGAGGAUUUCGAUCAAGCUUUCCAGUAUUAUUAUAUCAGGCUACCCAGUUUGCCAAAUCCACUUUCUUUUUACCCUGGUACGGUUUGGGCCAGAUGUACAUUUAGAGAGGAUAACAAAAGCGCGGCACACUAUCUCGAGAAAGUCUUGGCACAGAGUCCGAAAUCGUGGUGACACUGAAGAUUUUGGGACUGUUAUAUCCGACGACGGGCGAAGCCGACAAACGAGAACAGACAAAAGGUUAUCUGAAAAAAGUCACCGAUUUGUGCCCCGACGAUAGUGAUACAGAUAUGAAGUUUGCCGAACUUCAGGAAGGAAACGCUCCUGUAAGAAAAAAACUUGUUCUCGCAUUUGCACUUUGAUAUGUAACGACCGAUCGUCACAAGACGACGCACCGGCCGAGCUGUUCAACAACAUCAGCGUUUUAUACUUCUACCUGAACGAAAUUCCCAACAGUCGGAAGUUAUUAGAAAUGGCUGAGGCACGAGCGGAGGAAGCUAAAAAAGAAGUCCCCGACGGACAUCACGGUGCACUGCUCACCACGAUGACGUACAAUCAACGGCGGCUGGCGGAAGAGGCGCGCGACUGCAAAGAAGCCCGGGAGUGUUAUGACAAUAUUCUGAAGAAGAAUUCUAGUUAUCUGGAUUGCUUUCUGCGCCACGGGUGCAUGGAGCGUGAUCGAGACUUUUUUCCUAAGGUGGCCGAUUGGUUCCAGGUGGCUGGCAGUGCCGGGCGAGAUCAUCCAGUAGCGUUGUUGUCCUUCGGAAACCUGCGCAUGUCCAGAGCGGGAUAUGUCAUUAUAUUUGCUGGCUGAGAAAAGGUACGAAAAGGUGCUGACGCUACCAAUGUCGAAAACCGAUACGUAUGCAGUGCUGAGUUUGGGAAAUAUUUGAUUGGAGUCCUUGUAUAUGACAAUAUGAGCACAGCCGAUCCGAAAAAAAAACGACAUGUGAACAAAGCCUUUGACUUUUACAAACAAGUUUUGCACGUGGACCCAUUUAAUACAUAUCUAUGCUGUAAACGGAUUGGGAGCUUUAUUGGCCAGAAGCGUAGUGCGGAAAUCAUCGGCCGACAUAUUGGGUUUAUGGUUAAACAUUGGUCACAAUUACUGCGAAGCCAAGCAAUAUGUUGCCGGCACGAAAAUAUACGAGAAUGCGCUUCCUCGGUUUAAGGAUUCAGAACUGGUUCCGCAAAUUCAUCUGUAUCUCGUGCGCGCUUAGUACUUCAACGGAGAUUUUAAAGACGCCAGACACACAUUACAGUUGGCCCGGCAUCUUGUCCCGCAGAAUUCUGAAGUGCGUUAUAACCUGGCCAUGGAUGCAGAGACUGGCGGUGAUUACGUUGAAAGAUUCAUGCGCCGAAAUGUAUGAUGUAAUGGGGGCAAUUGCCGAUCUCAAAGGCUCUGAAGAAAUGUUCGAGAAUUUAGCGCUGGAAAAUGGAAACAGAUAAAUCGUUUCUCAUUGAUCCAACGAAAGCCUCAGAUCAGGCACGAAUGUGCAGUGCUUAUAAAAAUCAAGCGGAUUACCUUUGAAAACGCUAACAUGGCAGAAGCCUCUGACGACGGGAGUUGCACCAUUUGCUCGGAGUCUUCACACGGCAUUAGUGGGCAGUAAUAAGAUUUACGUGUUCGGCGGAUGGAUACCUCGCAAAAAAGAAAGGGAGAUUCCCACAGAUGAAGAUGGACUGACUGCACUGCAGAAGGAGUGGAAAUGCAUAAACGUUUUCUAUUCUAUUCUGAAAUCGUUGGGACCAGUAUAGCUUCGGUGAAAAAAACCGAGUUUCCUCGGGCACAUGCAGGUCACUGUGCGGCUGUAGUCCACAAUCGGAUGUACGUUUGGUCUGGGCGAGAUGGCUCAAGAAAGCCAAUAAUAAGCAGAGCUGCAAUUUUUUAGCGGAGAAUUACCAUUCGCAACUCCAGGUGUAUGAAUCUCCUCCAGCUUCGUGUCAGCCCCAAUCCGACCGCGCUCGGUUCAUUGCCAGUAAAACCACAGCCACAACCGGCGCUGGCAACAAAUUAGUGCAACAUCCACUUCCACGGUGACACUAACCACAGCCUCGACCGCGGCGAAACCGCAGUUGAUCACUCUGGGAAAGAACCUGCCUAGCGAUGCGCAUUUUGUAACGCUGAUGAAACCGAUAUCGACGCAAGGGAUUACGUUGACACUUGGAUCAGUGGUUCCCGUCAGCGGGAUGGUUAAAUUGGUUCCGCAGCCAGCUGCAACGAAUGCGGCCAGUAAACCUCAGGCGAUCAUUUUCAAUGCUUAGAAACAAACUCCAGCCAAAUCCCCCAUGGUUGUUGUACCGACAUCUACCGCCUUCCCGGCCACUCCGACGACCAAUGCUAAGCCAGUGUCAGAGACAACAGAACCGGAGCCAUCUGAUAAAACUGAUACCAGCACAACAGAAAAUUCAGCCGAAGCCAUUGGAACUGGAAAACAUGGCGGAGCGAAGGAACAGGCGAGUGAUGGUUCUGGGUCGGCGUCCAGCCAAGAGAAAGAUUAUACGACUGCAACAACGACUGCUACAGAAGCUGCAAAGCCUGCCGAACCAAAGUCAAAGGAAGAUGGACAGGUUACGAAAUUGUGGUGUCGCCCCAACUGCUUAUCCGACAUUUGUCGUCCAGAAUUAUUUUGUACGGUUAAUGAGGAAGAUUUCAAAAAUGUAAGAAGAAAUGUUAGCGAAAAUUUCUGCCACAUCAGUGUGCAAUGAUGGGAAUGUUGUACGAGUACAAUGUGGCGAUGGUCAAACAUCCUCUUCUACCGGAUAUUGCCUAUAAAUUCCGAGUGGCUGGAAUCAACGCUUGUGGUCGCGGUGUAUGGAGUGAGAUGUCCGCGUUUAAAACGUGCCUACCAGGAUUCCCGGGAGCUCCAUUUAAUUUUAAAAUUACAACAGUAUGCGCAGUUCACAGCGUUGUGGUUUAAUUGAUUGUACAGUACACCAGUCAGUAAAUUUAUUAAGCCGUUUUGUUUUCUGUGGUGUCCGGAAGGAGCUUUGUUGACGUGGGAGCCGCGCACGAAUCACGGGGAUAACAUCAACGAGUACGCACUACGCAGUGUAUUUUACUUGGCCACGAAGCCGCAGAAUGUGCACAGAAACCGACAAUCAUUUUCCGGAUUGCAGCCAAGAAUGAUAAAGGAUAUGGUCCUGCCACUCAAAUCCGCUGGUUGCAAGAUUCUCAGCCCCAGUCAGCACGGUGAAGAUAUGCGAGUAAUACGCCACGUGGGGAAUUGUUUAUGAAUAUUGCAGAGAUCUAUUUGGAUUUUGGUUGUUGGUGGUGCCGCGAGACGCUGGGAUUGCGAAGUUAUAAGAAAGGAAUGGGGGAAUGCAGUGUAGUGGAAAUUUUUCCUCGAUCGCGCGAAAGAUACAGACACCGCUCAGAAGCUGAAUCGUUAAAAAGUGGAAGAGGCCAGAUUGGCUUAUCAGAAGCGAGUUCGAGAAGAAAGCGUCCGCAAGGAAGAAAAGAAGUUGAAGGAGCAGGAAGACCUGAUGAAGAAACGCCAAGAGGUGCUUGACAGGGCUCUGGAAGUCAAGGAGAAGCUGUUGCGGUCAGCAACGGAAGACGAUGGAUUCGUUAACGAUGGGGAUGUUUACGAAGACCGUC